GACGAACGCUGGCGGCGUGCUUAAUACAUGCAAGUCGAACGAACAGACGAUGCUCUUGUGCGGUGCACGAGAGCCGCACGCGGGAGUAUCACGCGUGUAACCUCCCCUUGUCUUAGGGAUAAAACCUCGAGAAUGGGGCGAUUACAGCAUAGGAUAUCUUGCACCAUGGUGGUGGAUGGAAAAUUUCGGCGGUUGUGGCUGGUCUGGCGGGUUAUCAGCUUGUUAGUCGAGUUGUGGCUUACCAAGUUUUUGAAGGGUAGCCGGCCUUGGAGGGCGACCGGCCACAUUGGGACUAAGAUACGGCCCAGACUCCUACGGUAGGCAGAAGGGGGGAAUAUUGCACAAUGGGGGGGAGCCAGUUGCAGCAACGCCGCGUGCGGAAAGACGGCCUUCGAGUUGUAAACCGCUUUCGCCUGAGACGAGGCGUGAGUGACGGUAAUGGGUAAAGAAGCACCGGCUAACUACGUG
rnacentral:rRNA from 1 species